UACAACAACACAAUUGUUGCUCUCCAUCUGCCCUACUUGAUAGAUUUAGCUGCUUGUGGCUCAUUUCCUUUUCCCCCAAAUUAAAUUCAAGUUGAAGGGUCGCCAUUUCGACACAGUGGAGGAGAUCAAGUGCUCAUUGCAGAUGGUGCUUGACGUGUUAGGUUCCAGGAAGCGUUAAAAGUGUGACCAGUGCUGCAUUGCUGAACAAGACGACUUUGGACAGGAUGGCAACCAAAUGUGGCCUACGUCUUUCAAUUCUGGACCACUUUCUCGUUGAUACUGCGCAGCCUGAAGUGGACGUUAUUGAUUUUCUGUCAUAGCUUUUUUAACGCUUUAUAGAAGUCGUGACUGUUUUAGAUCAAAUGCACAAACUGUAUGUGGAAUGCACCAGGAUACAAUUUGAAAGGGGAGAGAUGUAAAACUGAUGUCAAAGCCCUUUUUAGUUUAUUAAAUCAGUUAAUUCAUGUGUAUUA